rnacentral:sRNA from 1 species
AUUCUGCCGAUGCGGGGAAGGAUGAGAAGCUUCGACGAAGGUUCGGCUCGAGCGUCAGCGAGAGAGCGCUGCCGCAGGCAACGACCCGAAGGGCGAAGCGCGCAGCGCUGAGUAAUCCUUCCCCCACCACCA